rnacentral:misc_RNA from 1 species
GAUGAAGAACGUAGCGAAAUGCGAUAAGUAAUGUGAAUUGCAGAAUUCAGUGAAUCAUCGAAUCUUUGAACGCACCUUGCGCUCCUUGGUAUUCCGAGGAGCAUGCCUGUUUGAGUGUCAUUAAUAUAUCAACCUUCUCUUUUUUGAGUUGUUUGGAUGUGGGGGUUUGCUGGCCUCUUAAAUGAUUCGGCUCCCCUGAAAUGCAUUAGCAGAACAACCUGUUCAUUAGCGUGAUAAUUAUCUAUGCUAUUGAAUGUGAGGGCAGUUCAGCUUUCUAACCGUCCUUGGACAAUUCAUCAUUAAUGUGACCUCAAAUCAGGUAGGACUACCCGCUGAACUUAAGCAUAUCAAUAAGCGGAGGA